AUGUCGCGUUUUCCCCGUCUUCUACGCCCACCGCGCACGCCAAACCCUCCCCAAUCGCCGCCGCCGCCGCCUUCGCCGCCGCCGCCUCUACAGCAGCAGCAACGGAGGAAGGGCGCGCAAGUAGGCUUCUUGUCACACUCCGCUUAUCAGAAGGUUCUAAUAUUUCACGAAAAAGCAAAGUUCUUAUCAAAGAACAUGUACAAGGAGGCAGCCGAUGUGUUGCUGAUGGCCGAGGUAUGGGCACCGCUGGGGAAGAAGCGUGACGUCGACCGCAUGAACGAGACUAUGGAGCUGAUCAAGGCGACCAUGGUGAAGGCGCGGCAAGGGGUGUCGGCUUGA
rnacentral:rRNA from 1 species